GUGGAUUAGAUACCCUGGUAGUCCACGCCGUAAACGGUGGGUGCUAGGUGUGGGGAACCUUCCACGUUCUCCGUGCCGCAGCUAACGCAUUAAGCACCCCGCCUGGGGAGUACGGCCGCAAGGCUAAAACUCAAAGGAAUUGACGGGGGCCCGCACAAGCGGCGGAGCAUGCGGCUUAAUUCGAUGCAACGCGAAGAACCUUACCUGGGCUUGACAUAUAGGGAAAUCUCAUAGAGAUAUGAGGUCCGCAAGGGCCCUAUACAGGUGGUGCACGGUUGUCGUCAACU
rnacentral:rRNA from 1 species